GGGAUAAGCUUGCUUAUCCGCCGGCGACCGGCGCACGGGUGCGCAACGCGUAUAGAAUCUGCCCUGUACUGGGGAAUAGCCCAGAGAAAUUUGGAUUAAUGCCCCAUGGUAUGUAUUAGCGGCAUCGCUUAUACAUUAAAGGCUACGGUACAGGAUGACUAUGCGUCCCAUUAGUUAGUUGGUAAGGUAACGGCUUACCAAGGCAGCGAUGGGUAGGGGCCCUGAGAGGGGGAUCCCCCACACUGGUACUGAGACACGGACCAAACUCCUACGGGAGGCAGCAGUGAGGAAUAUUGGACAAUGGGCGGGAGCCUGAUCCAGCCAUGCCGCGUGCAGGAAGACGGUCCUAUGGAUUGUAAACUGCUUUUGUACGGGAAGAACAAGGGGCACGUGUGCCCCUCUGACGGUACCGUAAGAAUAAGGAUCGGCUAACUCCGUGCCAGCAGCCGCGGUAAUACGGAGGAUCCGAGCGUUAUCCGGAAUCAUUGGGUUUAAAGGGUCCGUAGGCGGGCCAUUAAGUCAGGGGUGAAAGUCUGCGGCUCAACCGUAGAAUUGCCCUUGAUACUGGUGGUCUUGAGUUAUGGUGAAGUAACUAGAAUAUGUAGUGUAGCGGUGAAAUGCAUAGAUAUUACAUAGAAUACCGAUUGCGAAGGCAGGUUACUAACCAUAUACUGACGCUGAUGGACGAAAGCGUGGGGAGCGAACAGGAUUAGAUACCCUGGUAGUCCACGCCGUAAACGAUGGAUACUAGCUGUCCGGAUGCAAAUCUGGGCGGCCAAGCGAAAGUGAUAAGUAUCCCACCUGGGGAGUACGUCCGCAAGGAUGAAACUCAAAGGAAUUGACGGGGGCCCGCACAAGCGGUGGAGCAUGUGCUUUAAUUCGAUGAUACGCGAGGAACCUUACCAGGCUUAAAUGUGAUCUGACAGCUUUAGAGAUAGAGUCCUCCUUUCGGGCAGAUCACAAGUGCUGCAUGGUUGUCGUCAGCUCGUGCCGUGAGGUGUCAGCUAAGUCCU
rnacentral:rRNA from 1 species